AUGCCUGGGGAAAUGAACAGCGCCCUAUGCAGCCUGUUGAUGGGUUGCUUCACCAAACACAAACAGUUGGGAAUUUAUGCAUUUAUUGUGAUGACAGCACAUGCGUCGCGUUAUGCACUUGUCAAGCCCUUAAUCAUUGACAGGAAUGAGGCAUUCAUAGAUUGGAGUGGUACCACAAUUGGACUACUAAAUGGCCAUGCAGAAAAAUAUCCAUGGGAGGACGAAGAUAUAUUAGCAGCACAGGAGAGGCAUACUGAGGAGCUGUACAAGGCAAUAGAGGUGGAACUCGCCCUUAUGUACGACAUGCUGUACACCAAGGCAAUAGAGGUGGAACUCGCCCUUAUGUAUGGUUCCUGCAUCCGUGCUAUUUCCCUUCUGUCUUGCUUCACCGCUCUUGUGUUAUUCACAAAAGGCAAAAGAGAUGGUUACAGCACACCCGAUAUUGUAAUCACUUUUGCUCUUCUGGGCGGGGCUUGCACACUGGAGGUUGCAUCUGUUUUCAAGGCGAUUGGAUCGACCUGGACAUAUGGCAUCUUGAAAAGGUACGGCUGGAAGGGGCUGGCCAAUGCGAUUCUGUUUGCACGUUAUCAUCUCGUCGUCGUCAAGGAUGGAAGGUGGUCCAGUUCUAUCGGGCAGUAUAACUUCAUAUCCUUCUGUGCCAGGGAUGAGACCGAGGUCAGGGGAAGAAUAGCCAAAUGGAUUGGGCUUAAGGAAUUGUGGAACAAAGCUCACUACACCAAACAUGCCAAGCUUUCACCUGCCGUCAAGAAGUUUGUAUGGGACUUGCUCAGAGGUGCAAAGUCUGAUAUGGUACAAAUUGAAGAUGUGGCCAUCCGGAAUGGGUACUGGGCUCGCAGGUUAAGGGGCUUCCAACAGCUCAAUUGGAGCCUGAGUUUUGAAUUUCAGAAGAGCGUGCUUAUUUGGCAUUUAGCAACAAGCACCUUCCUCGAUGCCCCUGCCGUUAAAUCUCAACUGGUCAACGAGGAUGAGGAAAUGGCUAAAGCAGUCAAUACUCUCUCCGAGUACAUGAUGUACCUCCUCAUCGAGCACCCUGAUAUUCUGCCCAUGAAAGCAGCUGUCCGAAACCUGUUUCACCUAACCUGCACCUCUUACGCUGAGGAUUUUUCUGGAGAUGAUUUGGGUAUGCCUUACCAGAUACAGUAA
rnacentral:rRNA from 1 species